rnacentral:rRNA from 1 species
AUACGUAGGUGGCAAGCGUUGUCCGGAUUUAUUGGGCGUAAAGCGAGCGCAGGCGGUCUCUUAAGUCUGAUGUGAAAGCCCCCGGCUCAACCGGGGAGGGUCAUUGGAAACUGGGAGACUUGAGUGCAGAAGAGGAGAGUGGAAUUCCAUGUGUAGCGGUGAAAUGCGUAGAUAUAUGGAGGAACACCAGUGGCGAAGGCGGCUCUCUGGUCUGUAACUGACGCUGAGGCUCGAAAGCGUGGGGAGCAAACAGGAUUAGAUACCCUGGUAGUCCACGCCGUAAACGAUGAGUGCUAAGUGUUGGAGGGUUUCCGCCCUUCAGUGCUGCAGCUAACGCAUUAAGCACUCCGCCUGGGGAGUACGGCCGCAAGGCUGAAACUUAAAGGAAUUGACGGGG